rnacentral:lncRNA from 1 species
GCUUUGGCGAGGUUUAAAGUGUCGUGAAGUUCUUUGAGGCGGCUGCUACGUUUGCCGAAGUCCAGAACGAAGCAGACGGAGGGGGCAUAUCCGCAGCUGCGGCGGCGGUGGCGGGCCCCACGGCGGUAGGGCCUGGUUAAAUGGAGGCAUCCCCAUUGGAUUCAUAGUGUUCAGUUCAAUUUUACCGCUAGUAAAACGAAAUCGCUCCAUUUUAUAUGAGCUCCGAUUUACAUUGAUUUUCGAGUCACACUCACAUUCCAGUCACCGAUCUAUAUUUGUCAGGAAUUGGGUUAGUUUCAUCUUCAUUAUUUGCUUGUUUUUAGCUAUCGUGUUAUUUAAAUUACUUAUUUUGGGAUAUAUUUAUAUUAAACUAAUUUCAAUGUAACUAUUUUGUGCAAUUUUAUUAUAAUUUCAUUUUGUGUUAAUUCGUGUGACUUCACAUGUGACUCUCUGCAUUAUUGUCACUAUAUUUUCAAAAGCAUUAAUUUUCGGUGACUUUAUCCAUGUGACUUCUGCAUUAUUGUCACUAUAUUUUCAAAAGCAUUAACUUUCGGUGGUCUUAUCCAUGUGACUUCUGCAUUAUUGUCACUAUAUUUUCAAAAGCAUUAAUUUUCGGUGGCCCUACUACAUUUAACUCUGUAUAAGAUUGCAUAUGACACUUAUCAUGCUUGUGUUUUUACCUUCUAUAUAUAUUUAUCCAUGUACUAUGUCAAAUGGCAAAACAAUUCUCUCUUACAUACUCUUGAUAUAACAACUUUUCAUCAAAAAAUGACCUCUAGUUCUAAAAUUGAUGCUUCAAAUUCUAGCAAUUAUGAAGUAUGAAAACAAAGUGUUGCCGAACAUAAUCGACAACUUGACCGCAUCAUUGAGGAUGUGGUCAUCCAUACCGCAAGUCUAUAUGUACAACCUAUCAAUCAUGCCAUUAGAGCUACGAGAUGGUAUAUUGAAAGAAAACAUGAGAAAUGUUAUAAAGGUGUGUUCGAACAAUACUUCUCAGAAGAUCCAAUCUAUCCCCCGCAAUAUUUUUUGAACAAGGUUUCGCAUGCGAAAGCCUUUGUUUGAACGUAUAAUGAACAAGCUCGUCGCACCCCCAAACUUAAAGUGUUGUUUGUCCCCAAACGACGAAGAGAAGAGAAAUAAAAGUAAACAAACAUGUGAGCAUGAAUUGGUGUCAUUUCAAGGGCUUCAAUUUUUUCAAAUGAGUAUCACAAGUAGAUGUGCAUUUCAAGAAAUCACAAGUGUCAAAGAGUUCAACAUUAGAGCCUCCAAGCUUGAAUCCUCACAAAGGUGGAUGUUUCAAUGAUGCACUCAACUCUCAAGUGUUUAGAUUGGGGCGUGUUUGCACUCAAAUUGAAACAAUGUAUGCAAUCUACCAUAAGCUUGCCAUUUAUCCUAACUCUCUAUACUUCAAUGUGUUAUAAAUAAUGAUCAACAAGGGCUUUUCUUUAGGUUGCAAUGAGGGCUCUUUGGUGAGGUGAGGUGUUUAUAGGCAAAGUGACUCAUAUAUAAUUCCCAAAUUGAAUAAGUCAUAUUCACCAUUGUUCUUUUCUAAUCAANCGUAACAGUUUGGACAUUAUGCAUCAUAUUUUAAAGUAUUUGACAUCAUUCUGUACACAAAACGUCAAGCUCAUCUCUCAUUUAUAACUCCACUAAACUAUAUAUCACGUCUGAUCUGAGUCAAAGAGUCUUCAAUUUCAAAAUCAGUCAUAGGGAUUUAGCAUGCCUUUUAGCCUACACAUUAUUAUACUUAAUAAGGUGGCAACAUCUUAAAACUGCAUCCUCGCAAUUUCUUGGAGGGAACAUAUAUUACAUAACAUAAAUACAUAGUGAAGACAUGAUGCCAAGUUUUCACAAAGUCUGCAGUCUAUACCUUCUGUUGAGCAAUGUCUUUGGCUAUCUCCCUUUUCCUCCAUUCAUCCGCUUCCUUAUCUAUUUUAUCAAAUUGCUCAUGCUCCUAAAACAACAAAGACAAACAGCCAAUUAAAAACCUAAACUCAUACAGGAUGACAGGAACUUCUUCUAGGUAAAGUCUGCUAUAUUUUGACACCUUAGCUAAGUUCUCCGCCACGCGCCUCCUUUUCCUUUUCCUUUUCCUCCAUAGUUUAUUUCUUUUAUACUUCUCCAUUUUAUCAGCCAACCUUUUCACAGCAGACUUCUCCUCCCAAGGACUGUUCUCAUCCGCAACAACCCUGAAUGGCUCCAGAAGAAAUCUGAGCUUCGACAUCACAGCAUUUGCAGUACUCAACGACAUAGUUUCUUGAAAUUCAACUCCAAUACCAUUGUCCUUCAUGAACCUAGAAAACCUACUAAUCGACAUGUUGCCACGCCCUAAAUCUUCACCUUCACUACUCCCAUCCCCUUCUUUCAUCCGAAUCAACAUCUCCAACUCUUUCUGCCUGAUCAAGCAAACUUCAAUCAAAAUUCAGUAACACAACAAAUUCAGAUUUCAGGAAACAAUUUCUUAACCAGCCAACAUAUAAUCAAAGCUUUGCCGUGCUCCUAUGAUAGUAAAACACUAAUUUCAGCGGCGAAAACGCAGAACAGUCAUUCAAUGCAAGAAUCAGCUAAAAUUCAAUAAACAAAAAUUCAGCUCAAAUAACACCAAUUGAAGCUUGAAGGGCAGAGAUGUCGUUACAUGGCUUUGGCGAGGUUUAAAGUGUCGUGAAGUUCUUUGAGGCGGCUGCUCACGUUUGCCGAAGUCCAGAACGAAGCAGACGGAGGGGGCAUAUCACAUAUGCGGCAGCUGCGGCGGCGGUGGCGGGCCCCACGGCGGUAGGGCCUGAUUAAAUGGAGGCAUCCCCAUCGGAUUCAUAGUGUUCGUUCAAUUUUACCGCUAGUAAAACGAAAUCGCUCCAUUUUAUAUGAGCUCCGAUUUACA